GACUGAAGAAAAAAAUAAACUUGAAAUUCUGAAUAAAAUUUACCAAUAUUAUCAGAAGUUCAUCUUGCCUCAAUAUUACAAGACUGUUAGCCAAUAUCAGCCCACCAUGAGCACAUGGACUCACAUUAAGCCAAAUCCUUUCCAAUUUGUUCCUACUAUGAACUACUUUUAAGAUUAUUGAAUGACCUCUCUUCUUUGACUGUAUUGGUUUGACUGGAAUAUCUAUCUUUCUCAUCUACCAUUUACUACCAGCAUGUUUAGACUGAAGUAAUAAGGCAGAAAUAUUCAGUUGAAAGAAGACUGCAGACUGUCUCUUGAAUUGUUUAUAUUCUUCCUGUUAGUCAUUUUGAAUAUGCUGGGUCUGUAUUGUGGUUUCAUACAAACUAGACUGACAGUUAUUUAUUUUCACCACUCUUUC